rnacentral:rRNA from 1 species
GACGAACGCUGGCGGCGUGCUUAACACAUGCAAGUCGAACGGAAAGGCCCUGCUUUUGUGGGGUGCUCGAGUGGCGAACGGGUGAGUAACACGUGAGUAACCUGCCCUUGACUUUGGGAUAACUUCAGGAAACUGGGGCUAAUACCGGAUAGGAGCUCCUGCUGCAUGGUGGGGGUUGGAAAGUUUCGGCGGUUGGGGAUGGACUCGAGGCUUAUCAGCUUGUUGGUGGGGUAGUGGCUUACCAAGGCUUUGACGGGUAGCCGGCCUGAGAGGGUGACCGGCCACAUUGGGACUGAGAUACGGCCCAGACUCCUACGGGAGGCAGCAGUGGGGAAUAUUGCACAAUGGGCGGAAGCCUGAUGCAGCAACGCCGCGUGCGGGAUGACGGCCUUCGGGUUGUAAACCACUUUCGCCUGUGACGAAGCGUGAGUGACGGUAAUGGGUAAAGAAGCACCGGCUAACUACGUG